AAAAAAAAAAAAAAAAAAAAAAAAAAAAACAGCUUCAUCCAAAAAGCUUCACCUCCAAAGCUUCACCCACAAAGCUUCACCCACAAAGCUUCACCUAAAAAGCUUCACCCACAAAGCUUCACCCAAAAAAGCUUCACCCGAAAAGCUUCACCUCCAAAGCUUCACCCAAAAAAGCUUCACCCGAAAAGCUUCACCUCCAAAGCUUCACCCCCAAAGCUUCACUUAAAAAAGCUUCACCUACAAAGCUUCACCUAAAAAAGCUUCACCUAGAAAGCUUCACCUAGAAAGCUUCACCUAGAAAGCUUCAUCUACAUACUUUCACCAUCAAAGCUUCACCUAGAAAGCUUCAUCUACAAAGCUUCAUCUACAAAGCUUCACCAUCAAAGCUUCACCUAGAAAGCUUCAACACCAAAGCUUCACCUACAAAGCUUCAACACAAAACCUUGCUCCAAAUAAACAAAUUUUGUUCACACAACCUAAACAUUUUUUGUUUUACACCCACAAGGGCCCAAAAUCUUCCUUCUUAUUUAUUCACUUAUAUAUGUUCCCAAACAUAUUAUGAUAGAUCAAAUAAUAAUUCAAAGUCCAAAAUUUAGUUAUGGACAAAAAUACAAGCAAUUCACCAGUACUGAAGU
rnacentral:lncRNA from 1 species